rnacentral:lncRNA from 1 species
CUUUUAUUUGCUUUUAUUCAGGAUAGAUUGCAAUAGUCAACCUUCAGAAAAUCAUUCAAUAGGUGCCGCACAAUCGAGCUGUGCAAAGACUGACCGUGCAUGAGAACACUUUUCUUCAACUCGUUAUAUUGACGGUAAAGCACGUUUCACACGUCUUUAUUGCAACAAUAGCUUUAAAGGUGGUGGAAUUAACAGAAUAAAGUAUCAUCUUGCUGGAAUUAAAAGUCAAAUAUCUCAAUGUAAGAAAGUUCCUCUUGAUGUUAGAUUUAAAUUUCAAGUUAUUCUCAGAGAUUUAUCUAAAAAGAAACAAGAUGCUACAGAGGCUCAUGAUUGUACGCUUAAGGACAAUUAUAUAGAUUUAGAAACUGGAGGAGAGGAAAUAGAAUAGGAUAUUGAAGAAAUGAAUAUAUCAUUAGAAAAGCAAAGAUAAGAAAAAGGGAAGAGGAAAGCAAGUGAGGUAUUGAAACAUAUUUUGCUCCAAAGACUACUCCUGGAUCUCAACCUAGAUUAAAGAGUGCUUUAGCUGGCAAAUAAGCAAUAAAGAGAGCCCAUAUGUCUUGGGCUAGGUGGUUUUAUGAUGCUUGCAUUCCAUUUAAUGCUUUGCAAUCACCUUACUUUCAACUUGUUUUAGAUACCACUACUGCAAUUGGUCUAGGAUUUAAAGGUCCUUCUCAUCAUUACAUUCGUGUUAAUUUGUUGACAGAUUACAAGAAAGAAUGCCAAUUGCUUGUUGACACUUAUCGAAGUCAGUGGAUAAAUAAUGGAUGCACAAUUAUGGCCGAUGGUUGGACGGAUCAAAGACAUAGAACUUUGAUUAAUUUUUUAGUAUGUUACUCUUUUGGGAUUGUAUUUAUAAAAUCUUAUGAUGCAUCGGAUGUAGUGAAAGAUGCUCAAACAUUGUGUAAUUUAUUUUUUGAGAUAGUUGAAUGGGUUGGACCUCGUAAUGUAGUUCAUAUGGUAACUGAUAAUGCAGCAACUAUGUGGCGGUAGGGAAAUUAUUGCACGACAGAUAUGAUCACAUUUUUUGGUUUCCUU